GAUGAAGAACGUAGCGAAAUGCGAUAAGUAAUGUGAAUUGCAGAAUUCAGUGAAUCAUCGAAUCUUUGAACGCACCUUGCGCCCUUUGGCUAUUCCGAAGGGCAUGCCUGUUUGAGUAUCAUGAACACCUCAACUCUCAUGGUUUGCCAUGAUGAGCUUGGACUUUGGGGGUCUUGCCGGCCUAUGGGUCGGCUCCUCUCAAAUUAAUCAGCUUGCCAGUGGUUGGUGGCAUCACAGGUGUGAUAACUAUCUACGCUUGUGGUUUUCCAUCAGGUAACCUUCAGUGAUGGAGGUUCGCUGGGGCUCAUAAAUGUCUCUCCUCAGUGAGGACAGCUUUUUUGAACGUUUGAUCUCAAAUCAGGUAGGACUACCCGCUGAACUUAAGCAUAUCAAUAAGCGGAGGA
rnacentral:misc_RNA from 1 species